CCUACGGGUGGCAGCAGUGAGGAAUAUUGGUCAAUGGACGCAAGUCUGAACCAGCCAUGCCGCGUGCAGGAAGACGGCUCUAUGAGUUGUAAACUGCUUUUGUACGAGGGUAAAUCCCGAUACGUGUAUCUGUUUGAAAGUAUCGUACGAAUAAGGAUCGGCUAACUCCGUGCCAGCAGCCGCGGUAAUACGGAGGAUUCAAGCGUUAUCCGGAUUUAUUGGGUUUAAAGGGUGCGUAGGCGGUUCGAUAAGUUAGAGGUGAAAUCCCGGGGCUCAACUCCGGCACUGCCUCUGAUACUGUUGGGCUAGAGAUUAGUUGCGGUAGGCGGAAUGUAUGGUGUAGCGGUGAAAUGCAUAGAGAUCAUACAGAACACCGAUUGCGAAGGCAGCUUACCAAGCUACGACUGACGUUGAGGCACGAAAGCGUGGGGAGCAAACAGGAUUAGAUACCCUAGUAGUC
rnacentral:rRNA from 1 species